GAAACAUGAAGUCUGCGCUUUUCUAUCUUCUAAUUGGAUUUUACACUUGUCAAGCAGAUUUCUCAGUGGAAGAACAUGAAAGGCAACAAAGAAAAAUCAAUUACAAUGUACCAGCUACUCAAGAUUUGCUGAAUUCAGAAUAUCCGGAAAUAAAAAAAAUUGAAAUGAUUACUCAUCCUUUGCUGGAUGAAAUUAGACUCGAAGGAGCAAUUGCUAAAGAAGCAGGAAAGGACCCAAGUGAUUGCAUUCAUCAAGUCACCAAAUUUUUAUUAUCUUCUGUUGAUGAUUUCUUCAAAGCAAUUGAUAAAUGUCAAAUUAAUUCAGCCAAUGAUCUAAAAAUAGCUAAUGUGGAGGAGGCUUCUUCCUGUAACCAAAAAACAAUGUCUGCUUUUGGAUCAGUGAUAAACGGGGCUCGAGAAUAUUUCAGAUACUGUAUUCUAAGCAUACCAGACACGAGUCCUUAAUGUGUCCGAAAAAUUUAAAUUGUUUAUUUUUUUACUUUUUUCACAGUGAUCGAUUUUUUUCAUUUCUAUAUUAUAAUUAGUCGUUAUUGGAAUUUAUUAACUAUGUAUACAAAAGGAAAAUGAAGGGCAUCUAAUUAAUAACGACAUCUCAAACGACAGUGUUUUAAUGACGAUUAUAAAACCUGACGCAUAUAAGGAAAACGAGGAAUAAUAUUAAGAAUGAUAUCUUCAUCGCCACAUAAAUACACUUUCCAUCUGAUAACACAAUCAGCAAUUGUGAAAAAAUGCUAAAAGCUGGCAGACGCUAAUGGUAUAAAAACAAUUUUUAACAACAUUAGAAACAGUCUGAGUUCAUCUUUGAGAGGAAGAAAAGCAAUAAGAGAAUCAUGAAGUUUGUACUUUUCUGCAGUUUUUUGGCUUUUUGCGCCUUUGAAUUUUUUCCAGACAGCUUUUUCUGAUGCAGCUGCAGAUCGACGAUUGUCGAAUCAACUCUACAAUAUGAAGUUUGCGUCAAUGCAACAAAUAAACGAUAUCACGAAUCCAAUAC